rnacentral:misc_RNA from 1 species
CUGUUUGUUAGUCGUAGCGGACUGUGAGACAUACGUUGGUAUGAUGAGUAGUCUCUGUAUGUUCUUGCACUCCGCAAGCGCGUCGUCGAAUCCAACCUGAAAGUACAUCGACAAUGAAAAAACGCUGAAAGUUAAGUAGGACACAGGUAAAGUUUAGUUACCAGCGCGGUUAUUAAGCGCUGACGUUCAACUUCACCUAUAUAGAUAGAUAUGUUUAAUGGGUAUUAUAAUAUUUUUCCUUUUUUAUUAUUGUAUCG